rnacentral:rRNA from 1 species
CGUGUAGGUGGCUAAUUAAGUCAGGCGUGAAAUCCUUCCGCUUAACGGAAGAAGUGCACUUGAAACUGCUUAGCUAGAGUACGGGAGAGGAAGGUGGAAUUCCUGGUGUAGAGGUGAAAUUCAUAGAUAUCGGGAAGAACACCGGUGGCGAAGGCGGCCUUCUGGCCCGAUACUGACGCUGAGACGCGAAAGCGUGGGGAGCAAACAG